rnacentral:rRNA from 1 species
GAUGAACGCUAGCGGCAGGCUUAAUACAUGCAAGUCGAGGGGCAGCAGGACUGUAGCAAUACAGUUGCUGGCGACCGGCAAACGGGUGCGGCACACGUACGCAACCUACCCAAAACUGGGGGAUAGCCCGGGGAAACCCGGAUUAAUACCUCGUAACCUUGUUAAGUGGCAUCACUUGGUAAGUAUAGCUCCGGCGGUUUUGGAUGGGCGUGCGCCUGAUUAGGUAGUUGGUGCGGGUAACGGCCCACCAGGCCUGCGAUCAGUAACUGGUGUGAGAGCACGACCAGUCACACGGGCACUGAGACACGGGCCCGACUCCUACGGGAGGCAGCAGUAAGGAAUAUUGGUCAAUGGACGCAAGUCUGAACCAGCCAUGCCGCGUGAAGGAUGAAGGUCCUCUGGAUUGUAAACUUCUUUUAUGGGGGACGAAACCCGGAUAUUCUUAUCCGAUUGACGGUACCUCAGGAAUAAGCACCGGCUAACUCCGUG